rnacentral:lncRNA from 1 species
UCUCUUCCUCAAGCUGACGUAGAUUGCUUCUCCUCCUUCCUCUUUGUGCUGUGCAAACACCAGCAAGCCAGAGGAGAAGUCAGGGCAGCCGUCGCACGCCGAAGAGCCACCACCAGCCGUCAUUUGCCACCUCCGCCUCUGUCCGCUUUCCGUGCAAACCACCGCCCAGCCGUGCAUGUUCCAGCAGCCCUGUUUCGCCAUCCUAGCAGCUUCCUCAGCCCGUGCCAGAGCUGUCUCGCCUCCGUUCGACUUCCGUGAGUUUCCGAUUGAACCCGGUUUAACCCUUUCCACCUUUGCUGAUCAAUUCCCGCUUAAACCGAGCUUGUUUUCUCUCUGUUUCAGCAAGAACAUAAUAGAAAUUUAGUGAGUUUUCCAGCAAACUCCAAGCCCAUUUUGAGGUGGUUUCGAACCUCGAAACCUAGGCUUACUUUAGAGAAAGUCGAUCCCCAUUGCGUUCCCGACAUUUUAAACCGCUCGACCCGCAAAACAAGUGAGUUGAACUCACUAAGCCUUACUUAGUAUGUUAAUUAUGCUUAAAGGUUGUUUAGAUUAGCUUAAGUAUGGAUUAGUAAUAAGCUAGGAUGGUUAGAUUAGUCUUAGAAUGGAUUAGUGUAACUUAAUUAAUGAGAUUUGUUCAAUUGAUGAUGGAUUAGUCGAAUCCAGUAGAAUUCCCGCAGUUCGGAUUUUUGGACACUCGUCAUUUGCCAUUUUUGUAGAUCAAAAUGGGUUAUGAAUUUGAGGUCGAUGUCUUCUUAAGAAAUGUUUUAUACAUUCUCAGUUACAACAUAUAUUUUUCUCAAGAUUUUUAGGGAUCUAAAAGAAUGAGAUAUCAACUCCGUCAUUUUCAAACAGAAUCUCAGUUUUUGCUAGAACUAGUGACAUUUUAGGAUUCUAAAAGAUUUUAUCAACUCUUAGGGUUCGAAUUUCAAAAUAGUUUCUUCAUAGAAGUUGUUUUUCAUAUCUUAUAGUUUAACAUACUCAAAUUUCAGAUCAAACGGACAUGUAUUGGAUCUCAAACCAAACUAAUUUCAUAAAACAGACCUUCUGGAAAACAGACACAAUUUUUGUACUGGAUUGAACGAUUUACUAGGCCGAAUCUAGAAGGAUCUGGGCUAAGGUGUCUCAUAAAAAAUGUUCAUUUAUGUGUCCAUUACAAUAUAUUCAAAUUUGAAAAUUUCCCAAACUCAAUUGAUUUGGUUUCUGGAUUUAAAUUUGGAGAGGUGCGAAUAGGCCUAUUCUGCCAAUUAGAGCCGGUUAUGAGUUUAUGAUGGUUUUUGAGGUUUUGAUUGCUAGAAAUUGCACAUCUGAUAUAUGGUUGGUUUGUGACAAGCUCUAGCAUUUAUUUAGAGUAGUUCAGUAAUUUUCCGGGCUUGUCUCAGCUUCCAAUUAGGCUAUAACGGGCCUAAGUUGGAUUUAUUGCAUUUCUUUAAUAUUUUCCGUAAUUAUUUAAUUAUUUAUUUAUUUUCCGAAAAUUCAACCGGGAUGACCGAUGACCGGGAUUUUAUGCUGAGUUCAGUGGUGCUCUCUAUUUAUUUAUUUGAGUACCGGGUUGUGAGAAUUGAGGGUAUUGGUGAUUAUGAGAAUUUAUCCCAAAAAUUGAUUAAUGUGGGUAUAAAUCUAAGAAUUACCGAGUGGGACCGUGAUACCACUAAAUCUCAUCAAACCUAAGAAUUUCCGAGUGGGGCCGUGAUACCACUAAGUCUAGAAAAUUUGCCAAGUAGGGCCGUGAUACCACUAAAACUCACCAAACAUUGAAAAUUGCCGAGUGGGGCCAUGAUGCCACUUCAUAUUAAAGAAAUUGCCGAGUGGGGCCGUGAUGCCACUUCAUAUUAAAGAAAUUGCCAAGUGGGGCCGUGACGCCACUAAAUCUAAAAAAAUUGCCAACUGGGGCCGUGAUGCCACUAAACAUUGAAAAUUGCCAAGUGAGGCUGUGAUGCCACUAAACCUAGAAAAUUGCCGGGUGGGGCCGUGAUAACCACCAAAUAUAGAAAGUUGCCAAUGGGGCCAUGAUGACCACUUAAUCUAGGUCGUGCCCGUUGGGCCGAAAUCAAGAGUUGAAAUUGAUUAAGCAAAAUGAUCGUGUGAUGGUCUUGACGACAUGUAAUCGACUGAGUCGAUUGAUCGAUGAGUCGACCUAUCUAAUGAGAUGAUGUGAUUGUCAGUAUUUAUGAAUUGACUGACUUACAGGAAUGAACUGAGGCCAAGGUAAGUCAUCUGACUCGUGUUGUGCUUAAGUAGCCUUUAAGGCGUAAUUGGCUUCCUAAUCGAGUCUUAGGGGGUAGAACUUGCUGAGACAUUAUCUCACUGGUUAUUGUAUAACCAUUUCAGGUUCUUAGGUGGUGUUGGCGAAGACUGGAAGCCCCAAAGUUUAAGAGGCGAAGCCUGAAGAAUUGACGACCUUGUCCGGCUAGCUAGUAGUAGGGCAAUUCUCUUUUGUAGGGAGCCGAUUCCUUUUGCAAACCUUUGUAUAUAGACCUAUGUGUUUAUAAAAAGGUAUUUUGUGAAAAAUUAAUUCUACUUUCUUAUCC